rnacentral:rRNA from 1 species
GCAUGGCUGUCGUCAGCUCGUGUUGUGAAAUGUUGGGUUAAGUCCCGCAACGAGCGCAACCCUUAUCCUUUGUUGCCAGCGGUCCGGCCGGGAACUCAAAGGAGACUGCCAGUGAUAAACUGGAGGAAGGUGGGGAUGACGUCAAGUCAUCAUGGCCCUUACGACCAGGGCUACACACGUGCUACAAUGGCGCAUACAAAGAGAAGCGACCUCGCGAGAGCAAGCGGACCUCAUAAAGUGCGUCGUAGUCCGGAUUGGAGUCUGCAACUCGACUCCAUGAAGUCGGAAUCGCUAGUAAUCGUGGAUCAGAAUGCCACGGUGAAUACGUUCCCGGGCCUUGUACACACCGCCCGUCACACCAUGGGAGUGGGUUGCAAAAGAAGUAGGUAGCUUAACCUUCGGGAGGGCGCUUACCACUUUGUGAUUCAUGACUGGGGUGAAGUUGUAACAAGGUAACCGUAGGGGAACCUGCGGCUGGAUCACCUC